rnacentral:rRNA from 1 species
GACAGAGGUGCCAAGCGUUAGGCGGAAUCACUGGGCUUAAAGCGUGUGUAGGCGGGUCGUUAAGUACCUUGUGAAAUCCCCCGGCUCAACCGGGGAACGGCUGGGUAUACUGGCGAUCUUGAGCCACCUGGGGGCAGUCGGAACAAGUGGUGGAGCGGUGAAAUGCGUAGAUAUCACUUGGAACGCCAAUGGUGAAAACAGACUGCUGGGGGUGUGCUGACGCUGAGACACGAAAGCCAGGGGAGCAAACGGG